AGCUUUGCGCAGUGGCAGUAUCGUAGCCAAUGAGGUUUAUCCGAGGCGCGAUUAUUGCUAAUAGAACCCUGUAACUGAAUUUCAUCCAUUUCCCAUCCACUUUGCUAGCUAAUAUAAGUGAGAAAGGUCACUGU